AGAUUGAACGCUGGCGGCAUGCCUAACACAUGCAAGUCGAACGGGAGUAGCAAUACUCUAGUGGCGGACGGGUGAGGAAUACGUAGGAAUUUGCCCUUAAGUGGGGGAUAACCCGGGGAAACCCGGAUUAAUACCGCAUGACCUCGAAAGAGCAAAGUGGGGGAUCGCAAGACCUCACGCUUUUGGAGAAGCCUACGUCGGAUUAGCUAGUUGGUGAGGUAAUGGCUCACCAAGGCGACGAUCCGUAACUGGUCUGAGAGGAUGAUCAGUCACACCGGAACUGAGACACGGUCCGGACUCCGUACGGGAGGCAGCAGUGGGAAUAGUGGACAAGUGGGCGCAAGCCUAGAUCCAGCAAUGCCGCUGUGUGAAGAGGUCCUUGGUUAGUAAGCUAGUUUAAGGUAGGAAGAAAAC
rnacentral:rRNA from 1 species